GGGAGAUGAAAAAACUAAAUCCCUAAAUUAAUCUCAAAAAUCCCCUUCUCUCUCCUCUUUCUUCUUCCCAGUCGAUCCCCUCUUUCUUUUCCUCUCUCGCAUUUCAGUCGGCCAGACCAGAUGAGCCAUCUCCGGCCACCACCCAAUGACACGCACCCCACCACGAGCUUCCUUGGCCCCCGAAACCCCCAACCCGUGAAGCUUGCCUCCCCACUCGCCGGCCUCCGUCGCGAUUGGCUCCCCGAAGUUCCGUCGCCGCUGUGAGUUUGGAGGAUUGUUCUGGCCUCCACCGUGGACGAUGAAGGCUCCUGCUGGCGACGACGAUGGGGAAGGCGACGGCGAAGGCUCCUGAGCUGGUGAAGUUCUCAGGCGUGGGUGGUGCUGCCAUUCUCUUCAAGUUGUCCAGACCACUUGUAUUCAACUCUUUGGAUGUGUUUAUUGACAACCAUCCAAUCUGCAAUAUAUACAUUUGUGACAGAGCCUGAUCUACAAGUAUGGAAUCUUCAUUCCUAUUUAGAACUUGGAAGUUGUUUGUAUGCAGGAAUUGGUACUGCUGUAUCUUUUUUUGUUCAAGCAUGGUGCAUACAACUAAGAGGUCCUGUCUUUGUUGCAAUGUUCAGCCCUCUAUGCACUGUUAUAACAGCCAUUAUAGCCUCUUUGUUUCUACAUGAGAAGUUAUAUGCUGGAAGGAGUGCUUAAAUGGAGAGUUUCUUCAAGUUGGUCUCAAGUUUGUUCCACUAGCUGGAUAUCACUGGUUUGAUGGAGAUGGGUAUAUAUAUUGACUUCAUUAUUCUAAAAACUUAUUUAAUGAGUAUAUAUAUUGACGUCUUCAACAAGAAGAAUACUUUGGAGCUCCCAAAUUCAUGAAGGUAAUAAUAACAAGAAUUACUUAAGAAUUUGAUUAAUUUUCAAUCAUCAUUUAGGCUCAAGUUGUCAGGUGAUUGAAUAUUCAUGAAAUCAAAGUUUUCUUCAAAAUUAUUGGCUCUCCCUUGUAAUAAUAAUGCUUAUGAAAGAUUAAUUAAAGUGUCCAAAGUAAUUCUGAGUUGUAAGAUUACAAAAUCUGGUUUAAUUAAUUGAGCUUAGAUUUCAAAUUAAUGUUUAUUAGUUUCAAACUUCAUUUGAUUUUAAUGCAAACUUUCAAAUUGGAGAACUGAAAGGGCAUUUUGGAUUACUCGCGGUGAUCAUGCAAAUUCUGAGAGCAAAGCUCAAAGUAUUAGAUCUUUCAUAUGGAAAUGGAACCGGUAUAAUUAAGCACAACUCAACUACACAUCUGGUAAAGGCAAGAGCAAGCUGGACCAAGCCUGAGGUGGAGAGCUCCGAGGUGGAAUGUACAUAGCCAGCGGUUCAACCGCCAUGGUCGAGGAGUGGACUAGGACAGGGAUCACUUAACUACUAGUUUUGCCUUAGCAUGGCCAGUUGUUGUAUAUAAACCCUGAGUCUUUUGUAAACGGUCUUUGAACUUAAUAUUUUUGGGAUCCCAUGUAACAGAUAAUACUUUUUAAUGAAAAUGUGCCUUUUGAGACCAAAACGCUUUUAACCCUAGUUCCUUUAUAGUUUCAAUGACACGAUUUUAUUUAAAUGACUUGAUUAGCAAGUCUGGCACUUUAUAAACACACAGUGUAAUGGUCUUGGCUAUCCAGGGCGUUACAUACUUUCCCACUAGCUUACCUCCUAGGAUCGUCUUGUGCUGGGUAACCCUGGCAUAACCAAAUAAUAACAAAGCACCACGCCCAUUUCACAUAUAUGCCAAAAAUGCCCGAAAUGGCCAAAAUAUGAAAAUCACCCAAUUCAUCACAAAUGGGUUCACAUGCAUAUUUAAUACACCUAAACAUGCAUAUUAUCAUUAAAUAAUACAAUAAAGCAACUAUAGCCCUCCCGGCCUCCUAAUCAAGGUCCUAAACCUUAUUAAGAAAUUCGGGGCAUUACAGUUGGUUUGUGAAUUCCUGGAUGUGUUUCCAGAAGAUUUACCAGGGUUGUCGUCGCGCAGGGGGAUCGACUUUGUUAUUGAGCUGGCACCAGGGACAGAGCCAGUGUCUAGGGCACCUUACAGAAUGGCCCCAGCAGAGUUGAGGGAACUCAAGGUACAGUUACAGGAGUUGUUGGAUCUGGGUUUUAUUAGACCCAGUUUCUCGCCAUGGGGUACGCCACUGUUAUUUGUGAAGAAAAAGGACGGUUCUCUAAGGAUGUGCAUAGAUUAUAGAGAAUUGAAUAAGUUGACCAUCAAGAACAAGUAUCCUCUGCCAAGGAUAGACGACUUAUUUGAUCAACUGUAAGGUAAAACAGUAUUUUCAAAGAUAGAUCUUCGAUCCGGUUAUCACCAGUUGAGAAUUAAGGAUGAAGACAUACCCGAGACAGCCUUCUGUACCAGAUAUGGGCACUAUGAGUUCCUCGUUAUGUCAUUUGGUUUGACUAACGCCCCGGUAGCUUUCAUGGACAUGAUGAACUGGGUGUUCAAGGACUAUCUGGACCAAUUCGUGAUUGUUUUUAUCGACGAUAUCUUGGUUUAUUCACAGUCAGAGGAGGAGCAUGAGCAACACCUCAGGUUGGUCUUGCAGAGACUAAGAGAGCAUAAGUUAUUGCGAAGUUUAAGAAGUGUGAAUUCUGGUUACCUCAGGUGACAUUCUUAGGUCAUAUCGUUAGUAGGGAUGGGGUCAAGGUAGACCCAGCUAAGAUUGAAGCUGUUAAGAACUGGCCGAGGCCAAGGAAUGCCUCCGAGAUUAGAAGCUUCCUUGGAUUGGCAGGCUAUUAUAGGAAAUUUGUAGAAGGGUUCUCAAGAAUAUCGUCCCCACUGACGGAGUUGACACGUAAGAAUCAAAAUUUUGCAUGGUCAGAUAGAUGUGAGAACAACUUCCAGGAGUUAAAGCAGCGUUUGAUUACUGCCCCAGUCUUGAAUCUUCCGACUGGUCAAGAGAAGUUUAUGGUUUACUGUGAUGCUUCGAGACAGGGGUUAGGUUGUGUCCUUAUGCAGGCAGAAAAGGUGAUUGCCUAUGCAUCACGUCAGUUGAAGGAUUAUGAGCAGAGAUAUCCAACCCAUGAUUUGGAGUUGGCAGCUGUGGUCUUUGCAUUGAAGGUAUGGAGGCAUUACCUUUAUGGAGAGAAGUGUGAGAUAUACACAAACCAUAAGAGUCUCAAGUACUUCUUUACACAGAAGGAUUUGAAUAUGAGACAGAAGCGUUGGUUGGAACUGGUGAAAGACUAUGACUGUGAUAUUCUUUAUCAUCCAGGGAAAGCCAAUGUGGUGGCUGAUGCCCUAAGUUGGAGAGGUCCAGGGCAGUUGUAUAAUGUGAGGCAGAUAUCCAAGGAGUUAGUAGAGGAUAUGACCAGGGCAUGGAUUGAAUUAGUAGUGGGCCAGUUAGCUAACAUUACCCUGCAGUCUACUCUCCUAGAAAUGAUAUAGGAGAGUCAGUUACGAAAGCCACAGUUGGUGAAGAUUACAGAGGAUGUCCUAGCUGGAGCAGCUAGGGACUAUUCUAUAUCAGAUAUGGGCCUGCUAUGAUAUAAGGAUCGGAUUUGUGUUCCGAUGGAUGCUGUUAUUAGGCGAGAGAUUCUGGAUGAAUCUCAUACCACUUUGUAUUCCUUGCAUCCUGGCACGACGAAGAUAUAUCAGGACUUAAGAACUUUGUAUUGGUGGCCGGGGAUGAAGGGUGAUGUAACUGAGUAUGUAGCCAAGUGUCUGACGUGUCAGCAGAUCAAAGUUGAGCAUCAGAGACCUGCAGGAUUAUUACAGCCCUUAGACAUCCCAGAGUGGAAAUGGGAAAACAUCGCAAUGGAUUUUGUGGUGGGAUUGCCUAAGACGGUGGGUCAACAUGAUUCAAUAUGGGUGAUUGUAGACAUAUAUACUAAAUCAGCUCACUUUCUACCAGUGAGGACGACUUAUACCGUUGACCAGUAUGUAGACCUCUAUGUAAAAGAGAUAGUACGUCUUCAUGGAGCUCCGAGGUCGAUUGUGUCAGAUCGAGACCCCACAUUUACUUCCAAGUUCUGGGAAAGUUUGCAGAAAGCAAUGGGCACGCAAUUGAAGUUUAGUACAUCGUAUCACCCUCAAACCGAUGGUCAGUCUGAGAGGACUAUCCAGAUACUGGAGGACAUGCUGAGAGCAUGUGUACUGGACUUUGAGGGAUCUUGGAGUAAAUAUUUACCCCUGAUAGAGUUUUCCUACAACAACAUCUAUUAGGUGACCAUAGGAGUGACUCCUUAUGAGAUGUUGUAUGGUAGGAAGUGCAGAUCACCUAUUCACUGGGAUAAGUUGGGUGAGCAUAAAUACUUGGGUCCUGAGGUGGUUCAGAGGACCAAUGAAGUUAUUAAAAAGAUCAGAGCUCGGAUGCUCGCAUCACAGAGUAGACAGAGAAGUUAUGCGAAUCUGAAGCGUAGAAACGUGGAGUUCCAGGUGGGAGACUAUGUCUUCCUUAGAGUCUCGCCACUCAAGGGGGUGAGAAGAUUUGGCAAGAAGGGCAAGCUGAGCCCUAGGUUCGUAGGACCAUUUGAGAUUCUGGAAAGGAUCGGUCAGGUGGCCUAUAGGUUGGCAUUACCUCCGGCGUUGUCGGCUGUGCACAACGUGUUUCAUAUUUUGAUGCUACGGAAGUAUGUUUCAGAUGAGACUCACGUGCUGAGUUAUGAAGAUCUAUAGCUGUAGGCAGAUUUGUCCUUUGAGGAGCAGCCAAUCCAGAUACUAGACAAGAAGGACAACGUCCUCAGGAAUAAAGUUAUACCUUUGGUGAAGGUAUUAUGGAGGAAUAGCAAGGUCGAGGAGGCGACCUGGGAGUUGGAAUCAACCAUCCGGGACCAGUACCCCGAGCUGUUCAGGUAAAAUUUUGAGGACGAAAUUCUUAUAAGGAGGGGAUAGUUGUAACAUCUAAAAUUUCCUAAUGUGGCUUAGUGCCCGGAUUAGGGGACCGGGAGGCAAUAAUUGAAUUGUUAUGUGAAUUAUAUUAUAAUAUAAUUAUGCUUGCAUGUUAGAAAUAUUAAAUAUGUGUUUGUGUGAUUGAGACCACAUUAUUAUGUGGAUAUAUUUGGGUUACUCGACGUGAGGCGAUCCCAAUGAGUAAGUUAGCGGAAAAGUCACAACGAGGUUUUAUACCCGGCUCGGGGUGAGCUUGGGGGUAUUUUAGUAAUUUAGUACAUUACUGGGAAUUAGUGGGUAAUGGGAAAUUAAUGGAAAUCGUGUGAGAGUAUUGGAAAUAGCAGUAGUCAAAGGACGUAAAUUGUGGAUAGCGGGGUUUGAGACAAAGGACAAAAUUGCCCUUGAGAGCAUUUGAUGAAUAGGUUAAGGGCAAGGGGCAAUUAGGUCAUUUCCAUUCAAUUUAGGAUGUGGUUGGCUGGGAACCCCUUAGAAGACUUAGGAAACUAAAUGAAAAAAAAGAGUCUCAGUAGCUCUCUCUCUCUCUCUUACGUUCAAUAUUUCAUCUCUUGGAGCUUUAGGUGGUUUGGGUCAAUUUGAAGGAGAUUGGUUUGAAAGGAAGGCUUGAAACCAGGGAAUUGUUGGGAGCAAUUAGCACUUGAGUCAUACAGCUGAGGUAAGGGUUCUGAACUGAAGUUUUUAUGCUAGUUCAGUUGAAUUAUUUAGAGCUAUGGUGUUUUGCAUGUUUGAUAGUUGGGAGAUUGGGUUUUGAUAUUUUUGAUGAGUUUUAAUAUGGUAAUUAGUUAGGUCUUGCUGCUGGGAAGGGUUGUGUUGAUUGUGGGAAUUGAGUUGGAAGAUUGGGAUAGAAUUUAGUGGUUUUUAGUUGGGUUCAGCUGAAGGAAAAACCCAUAAAAUCUGGGUUCGAAGGGCUGGGCCGCGGCCUUGUUCUUGGUAUGCCGUAGCCUUAUGAUGCAAGAGGGAGCCAGGAGGGCUCGGAGCAGAGGCGGGUCGCGACGCGUGUUGUUUUUCCAGGGAGGCCGAGCCUCUGACUUAGAGGUGGACCGCGGCAUGGGUUUCUAGGGCCGCGGCCCUUAAGGGGAUUUUCGGCCUUAAUGAGGUUUUUAGAUCGGGAACUUAACCAUGUGGGCUCGGGGUCGGUUCUACUUCCCUGUUGAGUGGAAUUUGACGUCCCGGAGGCUAGUAUUUGGUCUGGAAACUCUUAUUCUCCAAUUGUUGAUGGAAUUCUUAAUUAUGGUUGUGACUAGGGCUUUGCUAAAGGCUCGAAUCGGGGAUCGUACUCAAAGGGCGUCACUAGUAACUUGCAUUCGGAUCAAAGGUAAGAAAACUGCACCCAUUACGUGGAUGUGUGAUUAGAGUUUAGUCAACGGUGAACAUAGACAUGAUUAAGGCUUGAGCAUUGUUGAUGAAUAUGAUUACAACUAUGCUUGUGGAGAUCUGGUUAGGUACACUGGAAUGCGCAUAAUUAUGAUUAUUCCUAUGACUAAUGUUUGGAUGUAUUAUGAUGCAUGGUAAUCGUUGAUAUGUAUGUGUUUAUGAGUUAUGUGAUUGUCUGUCGUGACUGGGAAGCUUGGUUUAUAAACCAGAGGGUUAUUAGGAUGUUAAAUGGGGAUCGACUUAUUAGUCAAGGGUAUACUGGACUUCCCAAGGCUCGUCUUAUAAGUCGAGGGUCCUAAAGCUUCGACUUAUAAGUCGGGGGCAUGUGAGGCUUGACUUAUAAGUCAAGGACUUAAAGGACUCAGUUUAUAAGCUGAGACUGGCAUUGUGCACGUGGAGUGCAGGCCACCAUGGCUGGGCCACCCUGGGAGUGCAACAUGCACUUGACUGGCUCGGAUGCCAACAAACUGAAAGGAAGUGCGACACGCACUUUCGUGACCCCAUGGUUGCCAAUUUGUAUAAUGAAUAUGCCAGUUUCAGUUAUUACUGUUUGAUAGUUAUAUUUCACUGUGAACUGUUCAAUAUGUUUUCUUG